rnacentral:rRNA from 1 species
UACGGGGGGGGCAAGCGUUGUUCGGAAUUACUGGGCGUAAAGGGCGCGUAGGCGGUCAGACCAAGUCGAGUGUGAAAUUCCAGGGCUUAACUCUGGCACGCUCGCUCGAUACUGGUCGGCUAGAGUGUGGAAGAGGAUGCUGGAAUUCCUGGUGUAGCGGUGAAAUGCGCAGAUAUCAGGAGGAACACCAGCGGCGAAGGCGGUGCUCUGGGCCGGAACUGACGCUGAGGAGCGAAAGCGUGGGGAGCGAACAGG